rnacentral:rRNA from 1 species
UACGAAGGGGGCUAGCGUUGCUCGGAAUUACUGGGCGUAAAGCGCACGUAGGCGGCUUCUUAAGUCGGUGGUGAAAUCCUGGAGCUCAACUCCAGAACUGCCUUCGAUACUGGGAAGCUCGAGUCCGGGGAGAGGUGAGUGGAACUGCGAGUGUAGAGGUGAAAAUUCGUAGAUAUUCGCAAAGAACACCCAGUGGCGAAAGGCGGCUCACUG